rnacentral:tRNA from 1 species
GCCUGGCUGGCUCAGUCGGAAGAGUGUGCGACUCUUAAUUUCAGAGUCAUGAGUUCAAGCCCCACGUUGGGCG